rnacentral:rRNA from 1 species
AAUUUGUAGAGUGUUGAAUAUAUAAAAUGUUUGAAUUUAAAUUAAUAUUAUUAAGGUAUAACUAUAGAAAUAUAAGUUUUAAAGCUUUAUUGGUAAAUUGUUUUAGUUAAUAAGAAUAGAUUUAUUCUAGUACUUUUUGCAUCAUGGUUUAUAGAGAUAAGUUAGUUUGGUAUUUUCCCGAAAGUUCCGGAUCUAUUUUAAUUAAAUACUUUUAAUUAAUUUUAAUGUUGCAAAAUUAAGCAAGAAGGUUAAAAUAGGGUGAUAUGCUAUUCGAAGGGGCUGGUAGCUGGUUGGGGGGAAAAUGCAUCUGAGUGCAGGUGAGUUAUUUUAUUUAUUAAAAUAAAAACUUUACUGAUAUACCAGGGAGUUAGCUCGGGUAUAAAAACAGCGUAAUAAGCUUAAUUUUGAAGUAGGAUUUAUAUUGUCCAUCUUUGAAACUUUUAUUCAAAGUGUUUGUUAGGUUUAAAGGUUUAUAAGGUACCCCCCUUUUAUUUAUAAUUUAGUUUUAUAAUUUAGUAUAAAAUUAGUAAGAAUUUAUAUAGAUUUACAUUGAAUUGCUUAACUUAGGUUUGGUUAACAAGGUUUAAAUGUAACUUUUUUUGGGAGUAAUAAAAUAUUUAUCACAGUUAUUUUUAAUGAACUCGGCAAAUAUUUUCUGCACCUGUUUAUUAAAAACAUGGCCUCUUGUUAAAAGAGAUAAGAGGUCUGGCCUGCCCGGUGAGGGAAACCUUAAACGGUCGCAGCUUCCACUGUGCGAAGGUAGCGCGAUAGGUCGCUCUUUAAUUGGGAGAGAGUAUGAAUGGUCGGAUGUUGGAAAGCCUUUAUUAAAAGUAAUUAUUGAAAUUUACCUUUUAGUGCAAAGGCUAAAAUGAUUUUAUUAGACGAGAAGACCCUGUUGAGCUUAACUAAUCAAUACCUUUUAGGUUUUGAUGAAAAUUUUUUCGGGGCUGAAAGGAAGGGAUAUGUAAUGCCUUCUUAUAUAUUAUAAGGAUCCAGCAUGGUUGAAAGGAAGAAGAUAGCUACCACAGGGAUAACAGCGCAAUCUUUUUGACAAGGCCAUAUUUAAGAAAGGGUUUGCGACCUCGAUGUUGAAUCAAAGUUUCUACUAGGUGUAGCCGCUUAGUAAGUGGGACUGUUCGUCCUUUAAAGCUUUACGUGAUUUGAGUUUAGACCGGCGUGAGCUAGGUCGGUUUCUAUCUGUAAUUGUAGGGUUUCUAGUACGAAAGGAUCGAGCCCCUUAGUUGUACUAAAACAUUAUUUUAUAUAAUU